AGGACCGUAGUUAAAUAUAACAUUUGAUUUGCAUUCAAAAGGUAUUGUAUCAAUCUGUCUUA
rnacentral:tRNA from 1 species